AGGGGCGGUGCAGGGCGGGAGGUAUUUUCCCGGCGGCGGCGUCAGGGGUGGACUCAGGGGCGGAAGGAGCAGAAGCAGCAGCGGCGGCGGGCGAGCUUUAUGCCUGUUUUAUUUCACUGCAAUCCAGUUUAAUGGAGCUGGAGCGACUGCACCGGGCCCGGCCCACGCCCCAGGAUGGACCUGAGACCCACAGCCACCCCCACACUGUUCCUUGGCGAUCCUGUGACACCCCAUAGAUAUGCCACAGCGACCCAUAGACACACACCCCCCCAGCCCCGUAGUGCCCUAUAGGCCCACAACACGUGUCCCCCAGCUUUUAUUGACUCCUGGCGUCAUGAUGUCACCAGGACCGCGAUGACAUCGUCAGCAUCAUCAAUGACACAGUGCCCCAUAGGGCCCCCACUACCCCCCGCAACCUUGACCUAGAGAACUCCAUGGAAACCUCAUAGAGCCCCAUAGACCCCAGUAGAUCCCUUAUAUGCCCCCCCAGCCUCAUAGAGUCUCUAUAGAUAUCCCAUAGGGUCCCAGAGCGACCCAUAGGCACCCUACAUGAACUCUUGAUGAAGCAUGGACACGCCAUAGUGGUCUUCAGACACCCAUAGGCGGCCCCUAGCCACCCAUAGACAUCCCAUAGCCAUCCACAGCACCCCAUGGACACCCUAUAGACAUCCCCCAGAGAGGCACAGUGACCGAUAGACACCCCACCGCAACCCAGGGCUACUCCAAAGUGACUCACAGAUGCCCCACAGAGACUCAUAGAUCCUCAUAAUGAUCCACUGCGACCUACAGAUACCCCACAGACACCCUAUAGCAAGCCCUGGACCCCCUGUAGUGUGCCACAGCCACCCAUAGACACCCCAUAGAGACCCACAGGAACUGCUAGAUACCCUAUAGACCCACAUGUGGCCCCAUGACAACCCAUAGAGCCCUAUACACACCCUGCACUCCCACAUAGCACCCUAUAGACCCCCUCCCCACUGCCCCAUAGUUCCCUAUAGAUGCACAGCAUAUGCCUCAUGGCAUUUAUUGACUUAUGGUGGUGUGAUGUCACCAGGACCUUGAUGACAUCAUCAGCAUCAUCAGUGGCACGGCACCCUAUAGGGACCCCCAAGAGCCCGAUGGGGGUUCCCCAAGUGCCCCAUGGGGCUCCCAAUACUCCCCCGCACCCCAUAAGUACCCCAACACCAAUCAGGUUUUUUUACUGACUUUCAUUCAUUUUUAUUUGAGUUUUAUUUAGGGUUGUUCACUUUUAUUCAGUUUUAUUCACUGUUUAACCACUUCAUUGACUUUAAUGCGCUUUUUAUUCACUUCUUUCCCGUUUUCUUCAGAUUUAAUUUAGUCACUUAUAUUAAGUUUUUUUUUUAGGUAUCCCUUAGUGACCCAGAGCAACCCAUGGACACCUCCUAGAGCCCCUCAGAGCACAGUAGAUCCCCUAUAGAGCCACUCAGCCUCAUAGCCUCCCUGUAGACAUCCCAUAGGGUCCCAGAGCGACCCGUAGCCAUCCCAGAGCAGCUCUUAGCAACCCACAGACACCCCAUAGUUACGUAGACACCCAUAAACACCCAUCACAUAGUGACCCAUAGGCAGUCCCCAGCCAUCCACAGCACCCCAUAGAGGCCCACAGCAACUCCUGGAUACCCUAUACACCCACACAUAGCCCCAUGAUGACCCAUAGACACCCUCCACUGCCACAUAGCACCCCAUACACACCCCCCAUAGUUCCCUAUAGAUGCACAACACACACCCCACGGCUUUUAUUGACUUACGGUGUGACGUCACCAGGACUGCGAUGACAGCAGCAGCAGCAGCAUCGGCAACCACCACGGCACCACAUAGGGCCCCCAUUACCCCGUCGCGCCCCGUAAGUACCCCAACACCAAUCGUUUUUUUAUUUGCUUUCAUGCAUUUUUAUGAACUUUCAUUCACUUUUAUUCGAGAUUCAUUCAGGCUUGUUCACUUUUAUUCCUUUUUUUUUUGCUUUGUAAUAAUUUAUAAUCACAUUAUUCACUUUUGCUUUUUAUUGUCUUUACGCAGUUUUAUUCAGCUUUAUUGGCUUUUUUAUUCAUUUUUUCUUCAGAUUUAUUUGCUUUCUAGUCUCUUUUUUUUAAAUAACUUUUUUUUGUUUUUAAAUGCCCCACAGCGACCCAGAGAAACUCAUAGAGCUCCCCAGCCUCUAUAGACCCCCCAUAGAGAUGCACAGCAACCACUAGAGACUCAUAGAGACCCCAUAGUGAUCACAUUAUGGUGGGUCUGGGUGGAGUGUGAGGCGAAGGCGGGGUUAAUAAAGGCCUGGGGGUGUGGUU